rnacentral:tRNA from 1 species
GGCGGCGUAGCGACAGGUAGUCGCACCCCGUUUACAUGUGCGGGGACGUUAGCACGGUUCGAGUCCGGUCGCCGCCA